CCCGCUGAACUUAAGCAUAUCAAUAAGCGGAGGAAAAGAAACUAACAAGGAUUCCCCUAGUAACUGCGAGUGAAGCGGGAAGAGCUCAAAUUUAAAAUCUGGCGUGCCUCUGGUCGUCCGAGUUGUAGUCUGGAGAAGCGUUUUCUGUGUUGGACCGUGUAUAAGUCUCUUGGAACAGGGCGUCAUAGAGGGUGAGAAUCCCGUCUUUGACACGGACUACCAAUGCUUUGUGAUGCGCUCUCAAAGAGUCGAGUUGUUUGGGAAUGCAGCUCAAAAUGGGUGGUAAAUUCCAUCUAAAGCUAAAUACAGGCGAGAGACCGAUAGCGAACAAGUACCGUGAGGGAAAGAUGAAAAGCACUUUGGAAAGAGAGUUAAACAGUACGUGAAAUUGUUGAAAGGGAAACGUUUGACACCAGUUAUGCGGGUGGAAAAUCAGUCUUUUGCAAUGGGGAGUUGUGGGCGUUCAGACCGCAAGGCUGGCGUUUGCUUCAUCUUUGUUGUAAGUGAUGCACUUUUUCAUUUGCAGGUCAACAUCAGUUUGCUUUGCUGGACAAAACCCCAAGGGAAGGUGGCAGCUUAGGCUGUGUUAUAGCCCUGGGGCGAUACAGUGGAGUGGACUGAGGUUUCGCAGUGUGUGCUCUCGGGCAAGGCUGACUGGGUGCUAUGGGAUCGUUCGGCGUACAAUGCAUGCAUUUUGCGUCGUGUCUUUUUCAUACUCGCUCAACUCGGCUCUUCCACACUUAGGAUGUUGACUUAAUGGUUUUAAACGACCCGUCUUGAAACACGG
rnacentral:rRNA from 1 species